rnacentral:rRNA from 1 species
AGAAUCAACGCUGGCGGCGUGCCUAACACAUGCAAGUCGAACGAGAAAGUGGAGCAAUCCAUGAGUAAAGUGGCGCACGGGUGAGUAACACGUGACUAACCUACCCUCGAGUGGGGAAUAAACUUCGGGAAACCGAGGCUAAUACCGCAUAAAACCUAAGGGUCAAGGGAGCAAUCCGUUUGAGGAGGGGGUCGCGGCAGAUUAGUUAGUUGGCGGGGUAAUGGCCCACCAAGACGAUGAUCUGUA